CCCCGAAGCAAGUUGGAAAAAAAAACAUCACGUCUCCGACUCCACCCCUCCCCCAGCCGCCACAGAACUCCUCCCUGUUCCCAUCGCCGCCGCCCGCCGCUCCUCCUCUCCUCUGUACCCCGUCGCGAGGAACCAACCUCCCGAAGCAACCGGAGCGGCAAGCGGCGGAAGAAUGGAGAGAUGGCGUCUGCGGCGACGGCGAAGGAGAUGGGGCGGGCGUCCUACAUCUGGAUCAAGCACGAGGAGGAGCGGCGCGAGGCUUCCUGGAAGGAGACCGAGGGCCGGGUCUUCUCCGCCACCACACGCACCGAUGUCGCCGCGCUCCUGAUCAGUGAGCCCCGCGACCAGAUCCUCGCCGGUCGUGCCUCCUUCGCCGACCUCGCCGCACAUCACUCCGGCUGCUGGGGACUGAAACGAACUCCAGUUCACGCUCUGUUUUGGUGGAUCUCACUACGCUCAGGAGGUGUUCGACGAAAUGCAAAGCCAGAGAAAAACUAGCGAUGAGACACAGUUUCAGUUUUCCCUUCCGGCAACGAAUGCCUUUCUCUCUUUGCUCUGGCCAGCAACAUAGCCGGCUCCCUCUCUUUUGUGUGCAGUUAACACAUGUACGGCCUGUAGCCAUGCUCAGACAUCCUCAGCACACACAUACGUCGCUACAGUGCAGGGACACACACAACAGCCUACUGUCAACUCCGCAUGCUACUACACACGAGCAUGGUCUAUAUAGUGUCUAGAUUGCAACAAGGAUUACAUUAACAGUUUGAACCGGGCUUGAUUUUUUUGGUUAAAAUUCACUGAUGGAUUGGUGUUACUCUAUUUUUACUAUGGUUUCCUUAUCAAUAUUUCACUGCUGUGGUAGAGAAAUAUUUAUCUAUUACGUACUUCUUCGUUGACAGCCGAAUGUGCUGUUUGAACUGUUUUCCCUAGACGAAGGAAGUACAGUUUGCAUGUACUAAAUUUUUAUUGUUAGUUUCAGAUUAUCCCCUUUCCUGUGUGCAUUUACUAGAUGCUUAAAUUAAUGUAUGGAUCAUCUUCGGUCCAACAAAAUCUAUUUAGCAAAUUAAAAUUUCUCAUCCAGUGUUCAGUUAUUUUCUCAAUUUAUUUGCUGCUCAUGUAUGUGUUAACCUGUACUGAGAUUGUUUAUUAUAUAUAUGUGUGUGCCCAACUUGUGUAAUGUGAUGCAUCUAUUUAAAGAAUCUGGCUAAAAUUUACUACACUUGAUGUAGAUCCAAAGAUUAGAUACUUAAUAAGGAUCCUUGAAUUUAGAAAGUCAUUACAGUGGGGAAGAGAUUAGGGAAGUCAUUCUAGGUCACACACCUGACUUGUAUCAGCUCAAAAUUGCUAUUAUGAAUAUAGUUUAUUUCACAUAGAUAAUAAACUAUUUGAUGCAGUUUGUCCCUGGAGACUUCUCAAGUGCAACUAACGGGUAUCUUGAACCAUCAACACCGCCUCCAGCUGACACCACCCUGGGCUCUGGGGAGUACAUCGGGCCGCUGACAGCUGCUUAGGUGAUGGCAGCUGCCGGGGCCGGUCUUAUUCUUGGCGCACGUGCGUUACCUCUUCAAGAUCUACGAGCUUGGUGACAGGUGCAAGAAAUUCAGGAAGUUGGGCGAAGUAGGGUCGUUCUGGAGGCCAUCACUGUUGUGCAUCGCCAUCCGGGCCAAAACUUGUCAGAUUAUGCAUGGACAUGAGCAACCUCGAAGCAUGCUACCUUCUUGGAAUUUAUCCGAUUGUAUUUCUGGGGAGCCGGGAGGCAGGAGCAACGCUGGUGAUGACCGCGACGACGAGUGACACCGCCGGGAGGCAAUGCACUCCCUGGGUGUCAUUCAAUUUAUCGGCAUUAGUGCCACCAAGGACGAUCACAACAGAUAAUAUUUUCCUUCGUUUUUUUUUCUGACGGUGGUGGAUUGUUUGCUCCUUGAUGCGUGGAUUUUCAAAUGUAGUUGCUGGUGAGGAAACAAAGUUGGUCAAAAUAUCAAAGCCGGGCAAAAUAAUAGAAACAUUAAGCGUAGAAUGUGCUGUACCUAAAUUAGCUGCAUGGAAACAUAGGGCCUAUGCUAAAUGACUGAAGGGUGAGCAACAACUUUGAGCCGAGAAUUGGAGACCGGCGAGAUAGAGUUUGGCCAUAGCGUACUGCCUAGAAAGGAAGGCAUUGCACUGGAGGGUGGCGCAGGUGGUAAUGGAGGAGGAGGCGAUGAGUAUUGCGUCAGGCGGCAAUCGGAUUUAAGCGUGGAAGAUAUGGGCACCGAUAUGAGAGAGGGUGAGAGCCAUAGGAAAAGGGAUCUGGUAAAGAAAGAACAUGAGAGAUGGGUGUGGGUCAGUGGGUGUUAUCGGCCUGGCUAGGCCAACGUGGUACAUGCGAACUUUUUUUCAUUUAUGAGUUGUAUCUUUUCUGAGUU